UGGGGAAUAUUGGACAAUGGGCGAAAGCCUGAUCCAGCCAUGCCGCGUGUGUGAAGAAGGUCUUCGGAUUGUAAAGCACUUUAAGUUGGGAGGAAGGGCAGUAAGCGAAUACCUUGCUGUUUUGACGUUACCGACAGAAUAAGCACCGGCUAACUCUGUGCCAGCAGCCGCGGUAAUACAGAGGGUGCAAGCGUUAAUCGGAAUUACUGGGCGUAAAGCGCGCGUAGGUGGUUCGUUAAGUUGAAUGUGAAAGCCCCGGGCUCAACCUGGGAACUGCAUCCAAAACUGGCGAGCUAGAGUAGGGCAGAGGGUGGUGGAAUUUCCUGUGUAGCGGUGAAAUGCGUACAUAUAGGAAGGAACACCAGUGGCGAAGGCGACCACCUGGGCUCAUACUGACACUGAGGUGCGAAAGCGUGGGGAGCAAACAGG
rnacentral:rRNA from 1 species